rfam:Fukomys damarensis contig139808, whole genome shotgun sequence.
GCCGGGUGUGGUGGCUCACACCAGUAAUCCCGGCUACUCCGGAGGCUGAGGUGGGAGAUCGCUUGAGUCCUGGAGUUCUGGGAUGCAGUGCGCUAUGCCGAUCAGGUGUCUGCACCAUCAAUAUGGUGACCUCCCGGGAGCGGAGGGCCACCGGGUUGCCUGAGAGGUGAAGCCGCCCAGGUUGGAAACAGAGCCGGUCAAAUAAUUUCCCAUAUCCAGCAUGAGAAUGGCUAGUUUACGCACAUUUCUGGUGUUCUUUACUCAAACACUUCACUUCAG